UACGUAGGGUGCGAGCGUUAAUCGGAAUUACUGGGCGUAAAGCGCACGUAGGCGGCCUGCUAAGUCGGAUGUGAAAGCCCCAGGCUCAACCUGGGAAGUGCAUUCGAAACUGGUGAGCUUGAGUGUCGGAGAGGGUGGUGGAAUUCCGAGUGUAGAGGUGAAAUUCGUAGAUAUUAGGAAGAACACCAGUGGCGAAGGCGGCUCACUGGUCCGGUACUGACGCUGAGGUGCGAAAGCGUGGGGAGCAAACAGG
rnacentral:rRNA from 1 species